rnacentral:rRNA from 1 species
UGGGGAAUUUUGGACAAUGGGGGAAACCCUGAUCCAGCCAUCCCGCGUGUGCGAUGAAGGCCUUCGGGUUGUAAAGCACUUUUGGCAGGAAAGAAACGUCGCGGGUUAAUACCCCGCGGAACUGACGGUACCUGCAGAAUAAGCACCGGCUAACUACGUGCCAGCAGCCGCGGUAAUACGUAGGGUGCAAGCGUUAAUCGGAAUUACUGGGCGUAAAGCGUGCGCAGGCGGUUCGGAAAGAAAGAUGUGAAAUCCCAGAGCUUAACUUUGGAACUGCAUUUUUAACUACCGGGCUAGAGUGUGUCAGAGGGAGGUGGAAUUCCGCGUGUAGCAGUGAAAUGCGUAGAUAUGCGGAGGAACACCGAUGGCGAAGGCAGCCUCCUGGGAUAACACUGACGCUCAUGCACGAAAGCGUGGGGAGCAAACAGGAUUAGAUACCCUGGUAGUCCACGCCCUAAACGAUGUCAACUAGCUGUUGGGGUCUUCGGACCUUGGUAGCGCAGCUAACGCGUGAAGCUGACCGCCUGGGGAGUACGGUCGCAAGAUUAAAACUCAAAGGAAUUGG